GGUACGAAAGCGUGGGGAGCAAACAGGAUUAGAUACCCUGGUAGUCCAUGCUGUAAACGAUGUCGAUUUGAAAGUUGUGACCUUUUGAGUUGUGGCUUUCGAAGCUAACGCGUUAAAUCGACCGCCUGGGGAGUACGACCGCAAGGUUAAAACUCAAAUGAAUUGACGGGGGCCCGCACAAGCGGUGGAGCAUGUGGUUUAAUUCGAUGCAACGCGAAAAACCUUACCUACUCUUGACAUCCAGAGUAUUUAGCAG
rnacentral:rRNA from 1 species